rnacentral:rRNA from 1 species
AUUGAACGCUGGCGGCAUGCCUUACACAUGCAAGUCGAACGGCAGCACGGGAGCAAUCCUGGUGGCGAGUGGCGAACGGGUGAGUAAUAUAUCGGAACGUGCCCGGUCGUGGGGAUAACGUAGCGAAAGCUACGCUAAUACCGCAUACGAUCUAUGGAUGAAAGCGGGGGAUCGCAAGACCUCGCGCGAUUGGAGCGGCCGAUAUCAGAUUAGGUAGUUGGUGAGGUAAAGGCUCACCAAGCCGACGAUCUGUAGCUGGUCUGAGAGGACGACCAGCCACACUGGGACUGAGACACGGCCCAGACUCCUACGGAGGCAGCAGUGGGGAAUUUUGGACAAUAGGGCGCAAGCCUGAUCCAGCAAUGCCGCGUGCAGGAUGAA